UGGGGAAUUUUGGACAAUGGGCGAAAGCCUGAUCCAGCAAUGCCGCGUGUGUGAAGAAGGCCUUCGGGUUGUAAAGCACUUUUGUCCGGAAAGAAAUCCUUGGCUCUAAUACAGUCGGGGGAUGACGGUACCGGAAGAAUAAGCACCGGCUAACUACGUGCCAGCAGCCGCGGUAAUACGUAGGGUGCAAGCGUUAAUCGGAAUUACUGGGCAUAAAGCGUGCGCAGGCGGUUUGCUAAGACCGAUGUGAAAUCCCCGGGCUCAACCUGGGAACUGCAUUGGUGACUGGCAGGCUAGAGUAUGGCAGAGGGGGGUAGAAUUCCACGUGUAGCAGUGAAAUGCGUAGAGAUGUGGAGGAAUACCGAUGGCGAAGGCAGCCCCCCUGGGGCCAAAUACUGACGCUCAUGCACGAAAGCGUGGGGAGCAAACAGGAUUAGAUACCCUGGUAGUCCACGCCCUAAAACGAUGUCAACUAGUUGUUGGGGAUUCAUUUCCUUAGUAACGUAGCUAACGCGUGAAGUUGACCGCCUGGGGAGUACGGUCGCAAGAUUAAAACUCAAAUGAAUUGACGGGGUCAUAGCUGUUUCCU
rnacentral:rRNA from 1 species